rnacentral:tmRNA from 1 species
GGGGAUGUCGGGUUUCGACAGGCGGUUGGAUUGAAGAAUUGCAGGUCGAGGUGUCGGUACGCACUCUCGUUAAACAACCGACAAAACAUAGUUGCCAAACCAGCAACACAACAAUUCGCUUUCGCUGCCUAAGAAGUAGCGAUGCGACGUCUGCCCGCCUUUUCCUCGUGGGGGCGGUUCCAGGCGUCAUACACACGAGGUGCAGUGGCAGCCACCGUCUUCUAACUGUCACUAAAGACUAGAGGGCCAACGCUUAGGAAUCCUGUCGAUGGGAGCCCAAGGCGAUAAAGAAAUACAUCGACUAAACCUGUAGUACAUUCCUCGGUAGGGCCGUUUGGACAGGGAGUUCAACUCUCCCUCAUCUCCACCA